CAGGGAGACAACAAAAUGUUUAAUAUUAUUAUUUUGUCACCUUAGGUCGAUCGGUAUCUCACGUUCUUAAUUUAUUAAGAAUUUCAUUUCCUAAGUUUUUCUAGGUCACACCCAUUAUUUUUCCUGGGCCAUUAGCUCAGGUGGUUAGAGCGCACCCCUGAUAAGGGUGAGGUCCCUGGUUCAAGUCCAGGAUGGCCCAUAUCUCUAUGUUGGGGGUAUAGCUCAGUUGGUAGAGCGCCUGCUUUGCAAGCAGGAUGUCAGCGGUUCGAGUCCGCUUACCUCCACUGAUUACCACCUCUUCCAUAACCGGUAGAAAGGAAAUGUUUUGAGUUGUGAUCAUUAUUCUGAACGAAUCUAGCUUCCUAAUGAAAUCAUUAAGAUGCUGGACUCAUUGAAUUAACUUCAUUGUUUUCAGAGAACCUUGACAACUGCAUAGAUUAUUUUUAAAGACAAUAAGCAUCUUUAAUGAUGCAGAUUUAUUAUUUGUGCGAAUGCAUUAAUAACAAUUCUAUUAAGCUGAUGCUUCAAUUAUUGAAGUUAUU
rnacentral:tRNA from 1 species